rnacentral:rRNA from 1 species
GACAGAGGCCUCAAGCGUUAGGCGGAAUCACUGGGCUUAAAGCGUGUGUAGGCGGAUCGUUAAGUGUCUUGUGAAAUCCCCACGGCUCACCCGUGGAACUGCUGGGCAUACUGGCGAUCUUGGGCCAACUAGGGGCAACUGGAACAAGCGGUGGAGCGGUGAAAUGCGUAGAUAUCGCUUGGAACGCCAAAGGUGAAAACAGGUUGCUGGGGUUGU